rnacentral:rRNA from 1 species
AAAUUAUUAAUAUCGCAGUAUUUAAUAUUAUUAUAUUAAUAAUUUUAGAGAUAGUAAUUUUAAUUAGAGGGGACAAAACUUGUGCCAGCAGUCGCGGUUAUACAAUUUCCUCAAUUUAAUAUUUGAAGGUUUCAGUUAAAAGUUAUUAAAUUUUAAUAUUUAAAAAUUUUAGUGAAAUAUAUUUUUAAACUUUUUUUUUAAUUUAUGUCUGAUAAACUCUUAUUAAAACUAGGAUUAGAUACCCUAUUAUUAUGAAUGUAAAUAAAAUAACUUGAUUAUUAAUAGUUAAGAUCUUUAAAUUCAAAGAAUUUGGCGGUAAUUUAUCUUGUUAGAGGAACCUGUCCUAUAAUUGAUAAUCCACGAUAGAUUUUACUUUAUUGAAGUUUGUAUAUCGCUGUCAAGAAUGUUCUUUAAGGAUAUUUUCUUUUUUUCUAUCAGAAAUAUGUCAGGUCAAGGUGCAGUUAAUUAUAAAGUAGAGAUGGGUUACAAUUAAUUUAAAUAUUGAAUUCUAUUCUAAUAAUGAAUAAAUUAAGAAAUUGGAUUUAAAAGUAAAUUAAUUAAAU